AAACUAUGGUGUUAUCAAAAUGGC
rnacentral:siRNA from 1 species